UGCUGGGAUUACAGCUGUAAGCCACCGCACUCAGCUGUAGCCUAUGUUUUUUUUAAUGUACAGGAUUUUUUAAAGUCCCUAGACUGGUGACCUGAACCACUAAUUAGAGAUGAUUAAAAAAUCUUGGAAAGUCUAAGGGUAAUACAUUUUGUGUCCUCUUUUGCACAGAGGAAGUCUGGUGCUGUUGACCUCAUGCAGGUGAGUGUGGCUGCUGGUCUCAUGCCAGUCCCUGAAAUUAGAGUUGCCCCUGUUUCUGCAGCCACCAGGGCCACACAAGGGGAGGCCACAUAAACAUAUGACCAGUAGAAGCAGGAAACUUCACCAACCACAUCCUCUUCAGAGCUGUCAGGAAUAGUAAAAUUUCCUAACAAGGAAGCAGGGUUCUUCCUUGUUCUUCCAGGUUGUUCUAGGAUUACCCAUCCUAAUCCACUAGGCUCUUUGAAAGUGCUGCCAUCGUUUCGAAAGUGGGGUCUAUGUAAAAGGGCUAAUCCUCUAAAGACAAGCUGAAUUUCCACACCCUUAGAGCCUUGACUGAUGUCACCCUCCUAGAAUCAGUGGAUGAGAGACUAGCAACUAAUUCAGUUUUACUGUUAGGGGCUCCUUUUCAGAGGUGAAAAACUAAAAUUCUGUAAUUUGUUAGAAAGUAAGUUUUUACAUUAUAAGGCAAAAUCUAGAUGAAUUAGGAUUAAAUAUAGAAUAGUUUUAAAUAUUGGUUGUUUAUGCUUAAUUAAAAGAAUGAGAAGAAAUAGAUCAUUUUAAAUAGGUGAACAUUAGGCUGGGUACAGUAGCUCAUGCCUAUAGUCCCCAAUACACUGGGAGCCCAAGACCAGUGUGGCAACAUUUUGUCUCUACAGAAAAAUUUAAAAUUAGGUCAAUUGUGGUGGUGCACACACACCUGGAGUCCUAGCUACUUGGGAGGCUUAAGUGGGAGGGUCACUUGAGCCCAGGAAUUCAAGGCUGUAGUAAACUAUGAUCACAACACUGUACUCCAGGCUGGGUGGCAAAGCAAGACCCUUUCUCUAAUAAUGAAAAUAAAAGGGUGGACAUUAAAUACUCUAAUUCU
rnacentral:lncRNA from 10 species